CUUUGGUUGACAGAAUCUGGAGUUUCUCAAUGCAAUGUCAACAUGUAUUAACUAAAGAACUAAACAAAAUAUUAAGAGUGUACUUAACUAAUGGUAACUGAGGAGCAGAAGAUACUGUUCAAGGACAUUCAGUAUACCAGGUGAGAGACUGAACAGCCACUGCUGUGCGUGCAGCCACCCAUGUGACACUCACUGAAAAGCAGCCACAGCUUGAGAUCAGCCAUCUACAUUUGGCCAACCAAAUUCCCUCUCCUAAAAUGUGGAAUUGGGACAUAGGGAUACUUCCUUGUCAGCAUUUGAAUUUAUAAAGGAUGUUAAGGCAGUGGAAGUAGCAGCCAUGGACUCACGUGUAAAUGGAUAGAUGCAUUUGGACAACAUGGAAGGAAAACAACAGAGAUAUGAAGGUAGAAGCAGAGAAAUUCCAUACAUAAUUCAAAUUCGAGAAACAUUGAAUUAA
rnacentral:lncRNA from 13 species